GUGUCAGCAGCCGCGGUAAUACGGAAGGGGCAAGCGUUGUUCGGAAUCAUUGGGCGUAAAGGGCGCGUAGGUGGUUCUGUAUGUCUACCGUGAAAGCAUACAGCUCAACUGUAUUUUGUCGGUAGAAACUGCAGGACUUGAGGCUGGGAGGGGCUGGUGGAAUUCCCUGUGUAGCGGUGAAAUGCGUAGAGAUGGGGGAGAACACUCGUGGCGAAGGCGGCCAGCUAGACCAGUUCUGACACUGAGGCGCGACAGCGUGGGGAGCAAACAGGAUUAGAUACCCUCGUAGUCC
rnacentral:rRNA from 1 species